CCUACGGGCGGCAGCAGUAGGGAAUUUUGCGCAAUGGGCGAAAGCCUGACGCAGCAAUGCCGCGUGAUCGAGACGCCCUUCGGGGUGUAAAGACCUGUCAGUGGGGACGAAACUUGACGGUACCCACAGAGGAAGCACCUGCUAACUCCGUGCCAGCAGCCGCGGUAAUACGGAGGGUGCAAGCGUUGUCCGGAAUCAUUGGGCGUAAAGAGUUCGGAGGCGGCAUGUAAAGUCUGGUGUGAAAGGCGGAGGCUCAACUUCGGUACGGCACUGGAUACUUGCAGGCUAGAAUGCGGUAGAGGUGAGGGGAAUUCCAGGUGUAGCGGUGAAAUGCGUAGAGAUCAGGAGGAACAUCGGUGGCGUAAGCGGUUUACUGGACAAUAAUUGACGCUGAGGUGCGAAAGCGAGGGUAGCAAAUGGGAUUAGAUACCCGUGUAGUC
rnacentral:rRNA from 1 species